GCGGCGGUGGCGCAGGCCCGGCUGUCGUUCCGGCCGACCUGCGGGUGGCGGUGCUCGGAGGCACCGGACCCCAGGGUCGCGGCCUGGCCCGCCGCU
rnacentral:tRNA from 1 species